rnacentral:rRNA from 1 species
UACAGAGGUCCCAAGCGUUGUUCGGAUUCACUGGGCGUAAAGCGCGCGCAGGCGGCCGGUUAAGUCAGAUGUGAAAGGCUGCGGCUCAACCGCAGAGCGGCACCUGAAACUGGUCGGCUUGAGUGCAGGAGAGGGGAGCGGAAUUCCCGGUGUAGCGGUGGAAUGCGUAGAGAUCGGGAGGAACACCAGUGGCGAAGGCGAGUCUCUGGACAUUUCCUGACGCUGAGGCACGAAAGCCAGGGGAGCAAACGGG